rnacentral:rRNA from 1 species
GGUGAAAAGCACCCCGGAAGGGGAGUGAAAUAGAACCUGAAACCGUGUGCUUACAAGUAGUCAGAGCCCGUUAAUGGGUGAUGGCGUGCCUUUUGUAGAAUGAACCGGCGAGUUACGAUUUGAUGCAAGGUUAAGCAGUAAAUGUGGAGCCGUAGCGAAAGCGAGUCUGAAUAGGGCGUUUAGUAUUUGGUCGUAGACCCGAAACCAGGUGAUCUACCCUUGGUCAGGUUGAAGUUCAGGUAACACUGAAUGGAGGACCGAACCGACUUACGUUGAAAAGUGAGCGGAUGAACUGAGGGUAGCGGAGAAAUUCCAAUCGAACCUGGAGAUAGCUGGUUCUCUCCGAAAUAGCUUUAGGGCUAGCCUCAAGUGAUGAUUAUUGGAGGUAGAGCACUGUUUGGACGAGGGGCCCCUCUCGGGUUACCGAAUUCAGACAAACUCCGAAUGCCAAUUAAUUUAACUUGGGAGUCAGAACAUGGGUGAUAAGGUCCGUGUUCGAAAGGGAAACAGCCCAGACCACCAGCUAAGGUCCCAAAAUAUAUGUUAAGUGGAAAAGGAUGUGGCGUUGCCCAGACAACUAGGAUGUUGGCUUAGAAGCAGCCAUCAUUUAAAGAGUGCGUAAUAGCUCACUAGUCGAGUGACACUGCGCCGAAAAUGUACCGGGGCUAAACAUAUUACCGAAGCUGUGGAUUGUCCUUUGGACAAUGGUAGGAGAGCGUUCUAAGGGCGUUGAAGCAUGAUCGUAAGGACAUGUGGAGCGCUUAGAAGUGAGAAUGCCGGUGUGAGUAGCGAAAGACGGGUGAGAAUCCCGUCCACCGAUUGACUAAGGUUUCCAGAGGAAGGCUCGUCCGCUCUGGGUUAGUCGGGUCCUAAGCUGAGGCCGACAGGCGUAGGCGAUGGAUAACAGGUUGAUAUUCCUGUACCACCUAUAAUCGUUUUAAUCGAUGGGGGGACGCAGUAGGAUAGGCGAAGCGUGCGAUUGGAUUGCACGUCUAAGCAGUAAGGCUGAGUAUUAGGCAAAUCCGG